GACGAACGCUGGCGGCGUGCUUAACACAUGCAAGUCGAACGAAGUGGCGAACGGGUGAGUAACGCGUAAUCAACCUGCCCUUCAGAGGGGGACAACAGUUGGAAACGACUGCUAAUACCGCAUACUGAAGGAGGGGAAUGCGUCUGAUUAGCUAGUUGGAGGGGUAACGGCCUACCAAGGCGAUGAUCAGUAGCCGGUCUGGGGGGCUGAACCGCCAAAUUGGGACUGAGAAACGGCCCAGACUCCUACGGGGAGCAGCAGGUGGGAAUCUUCCGAAAUGGAAGGAAGUCUGACGGAGCAACGCCGCGGGAGGGAUGACGGCCUUCGGGUUGUAAAGCUCUGUUAAUCGGGACGCGGUACCGGAAUAGAAAGCCACGGCUAACUACGUGCCAGCAGCCGCGGUAAUUC
rnacentral:rRNA from 1 species